rnacentral:rRNA from 1 species
CUACCUGGUUGAUCCUGCCAGUAGUCAUAU